CCCGAUGGCGGCUGGCCUUACCAUGCAAGUCGAGCGGCAGCACGGGAAGCUUGCUUCCUGGUGGCGAGCGGCGGACGGGUGAGUAAUGCAUAGAAAUCUGCCCGGUAGUGGGGGAUAACCUGGGGAAACCCAGGCUAAUACCGCAUACGUCCUACGGGAGAAAGCAGGGGCUCUUCGGACCUUGCGCUAUCGGAUGAGUCUAUGUCGGAUUAGCUUGUUGGUGAGGUAAUGGCUCACCAAGGCGACGAUCCGUAGCUGGUCUGAGAGGAUGAUCAGCCACAUCGGGACUGAGACACGGCCCGAACUCCUACGGGAGGCAGCAGUGGGGAAUAUUGGACAAUGGGCGAAAGCCUGAUCCAGCCAUGCCGCGUGUGUGAAGAAGGCCUUCGGGUUGUAAAGCACUUUCAGUGGGGAAGAAAGCCUUGGGGCUAAUACCCUCGAGGAAGGACAUCACCCACAGAAGAAGCACCGGCUAACUCCGUGCCAGCAGCCGCGGUAAUAUACGGAGGGUGCGAGCGUUAAUCGGAAUUACUGGGCGUAAAGCGCGCGUAGGCGGUCUGAUAAGCCGGUUGUGAAAGCCCCGGGCUCAACCUGGGAACGGCAUCCGGAACUGUCAGGCUAGAGUGCAGGAGAGGAAGGUAGAAUUCCCGGUGUAGCGGUGAAAUGCGUAGAGAUCUGGAGGAAUACCGAUGGCGAAGGCAGCCAUCUGGUCAAAAACUGACGCUGAGGAGCGAAAGCGUGGGGAGCAAACAGG
rnacentral:rRNA from 1 species